rnacentral:rRNA from 1 species
CAGUCGCAUCGCCGGGUAGCUAUGUUCGGAAGGGAUAACCGCUGAAAGCAUCUAAGCGGGAAGCCUACCUCAAGAUAAGAUUUCCCUAGGACUUUAUGUCCUCUAAAGAGCCGUUCGAGACUAGGACGUUGAUAGGUUGGAUGUGGAAGCAUAGUGAUAUGUGAAGCUGACCAAUACUAAUUGCUCGUGAGGCUUGACUAUACAACACCCAAGCAGUUG